rnacentral:rRNA from 1 species
AGCGAACGCUGGCGGCAGGCUUAACACAUGCAAGUCGAGCGGGCAUCUUCGGAUGUCAGCGGCAGACGGGUGAGUAACACGUGGGAACGUAACCUUCGGUUCGGAACAACUCUGGGAAACUGGAGCUAAUACCGGAUACGCCCUUAUGGGGAAAGGUUUACUGCCGCAGGAUCGGCCCGCGUCUGAUUAGCUAGUUGGUGGGGUAACGGCCUACCAAGGCGACGAUCAGUAGCUGGUCUGAGAGGAUGAUCAGCCACACUGGGACUGAGACACGGCCCAGACUCCUACGGGAGGCAGCAGUGGGGAAUAUUGGACAAUGGGCGCAAGCCUGAUCCAGCCAUGCCGCGUGAGUGAUGAAGGCCUUAGGGUUGUAAAGCUCUUUUGUCCGGGACGAUAAUGACGGUACCGGAAGAAUAAGCCCCGGCUAACUUCGUG